GCCGGCCGGCUUCCCUAAUACAUGCAGUCGAACGAACUCUGGUAUUGAUUGGUGCUUGCAUCAUGAUUUACAUUUGAGUGAGUGGCGAACUGGUGAGUAACACGUGGGAAACCUGCCCAGAAGCGGGGGAUAACACCUGGAAACAGAUGCUAAUACCGCAUAACAACUUGGACCGCAUGGUCCGAGUUUGAAAGAUGGCUUCGGCUAUCACUUUUGGAUGGUCCCGCGGCGUAUUAGCUAGAUGGUGGGGUAACGGCUCACCAUGGCAAUGAUACGUAGCCGACCUGAGAGGGUAAUCGGCCACAUUGGGACUGAGACACGGCCCAAACUCCUACGGGAGGCAGCAGUAGGGAAUCUUCCACAAUGGACGAAAGUCUGAUGGAGCAACGCCGCGUGAGUGAAGAAGGGUUUCGGCUCGUAAAACUCUGUUGUUAAAGAAGAACAUAUCUGAGAGUAACUGUUCAGGUAUUGACGGUAUUUAACCAGAAAGCCACGGCUAACUACGUGCCAGCAGCCGCGGUAAUACGUAGGUGGCAAGCGUUGUCCGGAUUUAUUGGGCGUAAAGCGAGCGCAGGCGGUUUUUUAAGUCUGAUGUGAAAGCCUUCGGCUCAACCGAAGAAGUGCAUCGGAAACUGGGAAACUUGAGUGCAGAAGAGGACAGUGGAACUCCAUGUGUAGCGGUGAAAUGCGUAGAUAUAUGGAAGAACACCAGUGGCGAAGGCGGCUGUCUGGUCUGUAACUGACGCUGAGGCUCGAAAGUAUGGGUAGCAAACAGGAUUAGAUACCCUGGUAGUCCAUACCGUAAACGAUGAAUGCUAAGUGUUGGAAGGUUUCCGCCCUCAUGCUGCAGCUAACGCAUUAGCAUUCGCCUGGGAGUACGCCUCUAGGCAGAA
rnacentral:rRNA from 2 species